rnacentral:lncRNA from 1 species
UGGCUAUUCCUAUUGUCUAUAGAAGUUUUAUUGAUGUCCUCAGGUUCAUUAAUUGGCCAGAAAUUUGACUUAAGCUCGACUUCUUCAUUGCUAAUGUCAAUGGAUUCAUAAAUUUUCUUUUGAAUUAUAUUUACAUCAAUAUGCUAGGUAGAUUCCUAUUCUAAGUUGAAUAUAUUCAGCUCAAUUGUCAUGCUCCCAAAAGAUAAUUUCAUAAGUCCAUUCCAAUAGUUAAUUUCAGUAUUUGCAGUAGCUAAGAAUGGUCUUCCUAA